rnacentral:lncRNA from 1 species
GGGAAGUGUCGCUGGGUUCCGGAAGUUCCCGUGAAGAGGCGCGUGUGAGGGGAGUUAGGUUUAUUUCUCCCACCGAGCUGGGGAAAGUCUGUUAGCCCGGCGGACUGCAAUCUCGAGGGAGAAUCACUUCAGAAGUCCCGCCCACUUCUGAACAUUUGGGGGAUCAUCCAGCAUGGACAGGGAGUCAACUGUAGAAGGAAGGGAGAGUUUCUUACAGCUCCCUUCCUGCAGCUCUGCCAGCUGGGAACAUGGAAGGGAAGGAGGAGGAGCUUGAAAGAGGUUACUGGGACAUGGCGGCUAUGGCUGAGGUAAGUUGAGGGUUCCUUUCUUAAUUGAUUACCCUCAGAAGAAAUCCGGCCUUCCUUUGUACCCU